AUUGAACGCUGGCGGCAGGCCUAACACAUGCAAGUCGAGCGAGUGGCGGACGGGUGAGUAAUGUAUGGGAAACUGCCCGAUGGAGGGGGAUAACUACUGGAAACGGUGGCUAAUACCGCAUACUAUCGGAUGUACCCAUAUGGGAUUAGCUAGUUGGUGGGGUAACGGCUCACCUAGGCGACGAUCUCUAGCUGGUCUGAGAGGAUGAUCAGCCACACUGGAACUGAGACACGGCCCAGACUCCUACGGGAGGCAGCAGUGGGGAAUAUUGCACAAUGGGCGCAAGCCUGAUGCAGCCAUGCCGCGUGUAUGAAGAAGGCCUUAGGGUUGUAAAGUACUUUCAGCGGGGAGGCGUUACCCGCAGAAGAAGCACCGGCUAACUCCGUGCCAGCCGCCGCGGUAAUUC
rnacentral:rRNA from 1 species